rnacentral:rRNA from 1 species
CGGCAGGCUUAACACAUGCAAGUCGAGGGGUAUAGUUCUUCGGAAUUAGAGACCGGCGCACGGGUGCGUAACGCGUAUGCAAUCUACCUUUCACAGAGGGAUAGCCCAGAGAAAUUUGGAUUAAUACCUCAUAGUAUGCAGAGUUGGCAUCAACACUGCAUUAAAGUCACAACGGUGAAAGAUGAGCAUGCGUCCCAUUAGCUAGUUGGUAAGGUAACGGCUUACCAAGGCUACGAUGGGUAGGGGUCCUGAGAGGGAGAUCCCCCACACUGGUACUGAGACACGGGCCAGACUCCUACGGGAGGCAGCAGUGAGGAAUAUUGGACAAUGGGCGCAAGCCUGAUCCAGCCAUGCCGCGUGCAGGAUGACGGUCCUAUGGAUUGUAAACUGCUUUUGCACAGGAAGAAACAACGCUACGUGUAGCGUCUUGACGGUACUGUGAGAAUAAGGAUCGGCUAACUCCGUGCCAGCAGCCGCGGUAAUACGGAGGAUCCAAGCGUUAUCCGGAAUCAUUGGGUUUAAAGGGUCCGUAGGCGGUUUGGUAAGUCAGUGGUGAAAGCCCAUCGCUCAACGGUGGAACGGCCAUUGAUACUGCCAGACUUGAAUUAUUAGGAAGUAACUAGAAUAUGUAGUGUAGCGGUGAAAUGCUUAGAGAUUACAUGGAAUACCAAUUGCGAAGGCAGGUUACUACUAAUGGAUUGACGCUGAUGGACGAAAGCGUG